UACGUAGGGUGCGAGCGUUGUCCGGAAUUACUGGGCGUAAAGAGCUCGUAGGUGGUUUGUCGCGUUGUUCGUGAAAACCCACAGCUUAACUGUGGGCGUGCGGGCGAUACGGGCAGACUGGAGUACUGCAGGGGAGACUGGAAUUCCUGGUGUAGCGGUGGAAUGCGCAGAUAUCGGGAGGAACACCGGUGGCGAAGGCGGUUCUCUGGGCCUUACCUGACGCUGAGGAGCGAAAGCGUGGGGAGCGAACAGG
rnacentral:rRNA from 1 species